UCGAGCGAGGCGGCCCGCAAGGGUCAGUCGAGCGGCGAACGGGUGAGUAACGCGUGGAUUAUCUACCCUGAGGUGGGGGAUAACCCGGGGAAACUCGGGCUAAUACCGCAUGAUACCGAGAGGUCAAAGGGGGCUCGCAAGGGCUCUCGCCAUAGGAGGAGUCCGCGUCCGAUUAGCUAGUUGGUAGGGUAAUGGCCUACCAAGGCAACGAUCGGUAGCCGGCCUGAGAGGGUGAUCGGCCACACUGGAACUGAGACACGGUCCAGACUCCUACGGGAGGCAGCAGUGGGGAAUUUUGCGCAAUGGGCUAACGCCUGACGCAGCAACGCCGCGUGGAGGAUGAAGGUCUUUGGAUUGUAAACUCCUGUCGACCGGGAAAAAGCAACUCGACCUAACACGUCGGGGAGUUGAUUGUACCGGUGGAGGAAGCCCCGGCUAACUCUGUGCCAGCAGCCGCGGUAAUACAGAGGGGGCAAGCGUUAUUCGGAAUUAUUGGGCGUAAAGGGCGCGUAGGCGGCCUGGCAAGUGGAAGGUGAAAUCCCUCGGCUUAACCGAGGAACUGCCCUCUAAACUGCUUGGCUUGAGUCCGGGAGAGGUGAGUGGAAUUCCCAGUGUAGCGGUGAAAUGCGUAGAUAUUGGGAGGAACACCAGUGGCGAAGGCGGCUCACUGGACCGGAACUGACGCUGAGGCGCGAAAGCGUGGGGAGCAAACGGGAUUAGAUACCCCGGUAGUCCACGCCGUAAACGAUGAGUGCUUGGUGUAGCGGGUAUCGAC
rnacentral:rRNA from 1 species